rnacentral:rRNA from 1 species
UAGGGCAUAUUGGUCAAUGGGCGCAAGCCUGAACCAGCCAUCCCGCGUGCAGGAAGACGGUCCUAUGGGUUGUAAACUGCUUUUCCAGGGAGAGAAACUUGCGUACGCGUUGCGCAAUUGACGGUACCCUGGGACUAAGCAUCGGCUAACUCCGUGCCCGCAGCCGCGGUAAUACGGAGGAUGCGAGAGUUAUCCGGAUUCAUUGGGUUUAAAGGGUGCGUAGGCGGACUAUUAAGUCAGUGGUGAAAUCCUGCAGCUUAACUGCAGAACUGCCAUUGAUACUGAUAGCCUUGAGUUUGGUUAAGGUAGGCGGAAUGUGUAAUGUAGCGGUGAAAUGCUUAGAUAGUACACAGAACACCAAUUGCGUAGGCAGCUUACUGGGCCGACACUGACGCUGAGGCACGAAAGCGUGGGGAUCGAACA